CUAUCUGUCCAGUGGAGCGGCUGGAAGCAGCUUUGCCCCCAGUUGAUGUCCAAUGCUCCUUGUGGCUGGCCUUGGCUGAAUACUCCUGGUGUCUCUGUGUACCCAUGUGGUAGGUCUGUGAUUUCUGGAGCUCUCUCCUUCCUGUAGCUGUUUACCUGUCUGCUUUUUAUGUUAAUGCGUAACCUGCUGAGGUGCGUCCCUGUGUAUCAGCUCUGUAUGCUCUCCAUCCAAAAGCUUCCCCUCUGGCCGUGGAUUGGAGGGUCGGCAAAUAGAUACCUGCCUUUCCUAGAGUCUAUGUGGACGUGGGGCAGCAGCUGGAAACCUCUGGCGACGCUCAUCUUGGACGGGCUGUAAAGA